GAUUUUGGUGUUUAUGUCAUUUGAGUUCUUGGCAAUCGGAAUUUUAGCAAAUUUUGUAGAAUCUGUUAAAUUGAAUCUUGAGCUAGAUUUAUUAAUAAUUAGAUGAAAUCCCAACAUAAUUUUGAUUUGGGAAAUCAGAAUUUUGCUAGAAGUUGUGGAUUCAGUCACAAAUUUGGAAUUUGGCUCUUUUUUCAUAUGAUUUUCACUGUGUUUGCAGCUUUGUUUUGACUUUCUUGGAUUGCCCUUUUGAUUGUUUGGUAGGCAAGACUAUGAUGCCGAAGACGGCGAAUGAAAUGAAACUGAUGAGUUUUGGCAAGAUUUUGGAUAACAAGAAGACAGUGGGUCAGUGUAAAUUACCUUUGGUUGAUAUUGGUGGGGGAAUUAUCAUGAUGCGUGUCGUUGGACAUCCAGCUAUGGAAAAAGCUAACACAGUGGAGCACGGGCACCCUUUCCUUUCCUUUCAGUUCGAUUGAACAAUUAGUUCGCAACAUGCUGUCGUGCUUUGUCUAUCCUCUGGUAUGAAGCUGAAAAUUGCCGUGUCUUUAUCCCCUUGAUUCACCCACCAGCUGAAGCCAUUCAAGUCAAACUGUCUGUAUUAAUUUUUUAAAAUUUCAGCAUAAAUCAAUUGAAAUGAACUACAAUUUGAUGAUUGAAUGCAGGGAAAAUGCAGUGGAGAGCCUUUUCUCGCUCUCAAAUCCAACGAAUCGUGCUGGACCACCAGUCCAUCCGCACCACCAACGUUCCUCCGCUUUACUAAAGAUUGAAGCCCUGCGGACCGGAUUGGAGUGGCCUAUGCCAGCAUGGAGAUUGUUUCUUUGCUCAUUAGAGGCUGGCCAUUAUUGACCCUGCUUCUGGUGAUCAAUGUAACAUCUCACAUUGUUCAGGGGAGUGGAUCCUGUAAGCCUUAUAUGUUCGGAUUCCGUAGGAACUCCGAAGUUAAGCGAGAAAUGUGCUAGAGCAUUCCCAGGAUGGGUGACCCACUGGGAAGUUCUCGUGUGAGUUCCCAGAAACAAAACCGUGAUGGCGUGGUCAGGGCCCAAAACAGACAAUAUCGUGCUACGGCGGAGUCAAGCCUGGGAAGUGGUCCCGCCCAGUCUGGGAUGUGACAAUUUGAUAUCAGAGCCAACCCUGGCGGGAUGUGUGCCGACGAGGACGUCGGGCCCCUAAGGGGGUGGAUUAUAACAUCCCACAUCGCCUAGGGGAGUGGAUCCUGUAAGCCUUAUAUAUAUAUUCCCAUCUCUACCUUGCACAAGGCUUUUUGGGAGUUCAUUGGCUUCAGAUUCCGUAGGAACUCUGAAGUUAAGCGAGAAAUGGGCUAGAGCAUUCACAGGAUGGGUGACACACUGGGAAGUUCUUAUGUGAGUUCCCAGAAACAAAACCAUGAGGGCGUGGUCGGGGCCCAAAGCGGACAAUAUCGUGCUACGGCGGAGUCGAGCCUGGGAAUUGGUCCCUCCCGGGCUGGGAUGUGACAAUCAACCUCUCUACAGUGAAGAAAUCAAUUGUUGUCGGGGUAGGGUUGCGUCAUAUAUUUUUAAAUUUUGUGUGGUUUAAUUUAUUGAAUAUUUGAAAAAAUAGAUAAAUUUUCAAUUUUCAAUUACUGAUACGAUGCAUAUGUUGAUUGGUGACUUUGUUGGAUUCACUCAGCUCAAAUAUAUGUUAUCUGAAUUGCUACAUUUGAGAAUGUGAUUAUGUUCCUACCACCAUUUUGCCCAUUUUCUGUGGGAAUUAUUCAUUCUCACAACAGAUGCUUUCAACCCCCGUAGCGAAGUGCGAGCACAUUUUCUAGUUAAACAUACACAAUGCUCAAAAUUUAGUCAAAAAAUUUCACUUUCUUCUUUUUAUCAAUUUUCUUAGUAGUAAAUUAUAGCAAUGAUCUUUUAACUUUAAUUCAAUUCGAGCAA